UAUCAAGGAGGAUGUCUCUCAGGGGAUCAAGCCCACUUGUUAGGACUCAGAGUUUGGAAUUAUUCACAGAUGAAGGCAGGGACAGGUCCCCAAUUAAAAGCCCAGGUCAGACGGCCCGUUUCCAUGCCCAGGAUUUCGGGGGUGAAGAAGACCAGAGGCCACAAUUAUCGGGGAAAAUGCUAAAGUCUCUAUCUGCAGGUCACAUAACUGAUUCUGCAAUCAUUGCUGCAUUAAAUUCAACAGACGGCCAAUCUCCUCCUUUGCCAGUAGACGGCAGUGAUUUACAAGGAAUAGAAGUGACUAUUGAAACAACCGGAAAUAUCCAACUGGAUGAUGAUGAAUCUAGCUGGUCAGACAUACAAUCCCUAGAAGAUGACGAUAACUCUGGCCUUUUCUCUUCGGAUGAAGGGGAAGUGGAAAGGGUUGCUGAAAAGGAAAAAGUAGUAUCCACACCGUUACAGGAGGACCAGCACUCAUUUGCAAGAGGUGAAGUGAGAGUAGAAGAUUUUCUGAGUAACCCUACCUAUUUAGAAUCAGAAGCUUUGCAAGUAGUGAAGCAGGAGGGGAAGUACUCUACCUCUGAAUGGCAAGAAUUUCUACAAAAAGAGGUCAAAGAGGUAGCAAAUAUCCUCUUGACAACGGACUUGCAUCCAAUAGAAUUGUUUGAAUUCUGGGCCUUUUUGUUAGCCCAUAUAACCUUACCUAAGCUGAAUAUUGCCAUGACUACCUGGAAAAAGAAAAGUACAGCUGAACAAUGGAACAGGCUGGAAAAAGAUCAUGACCUGAUUUUUCGAUGGCUUAUGGGAGCAGAAAUCAAGUCGGAACACAAGGUAGCUGUGGCAGUAGCAACGAGCUCAAUCAUCUUGACCAAAAUGAUGACCCAUAGAAUGACCAAAAUGCGGAAGCCUCUCAUGAAACCCCUCCAAUUUCCGGAGUGGCUGACUGAAAUAAAUCUACUGAAAAAGAUUCAGGGCCUAAAUCGUUUUUUACAAGAAAAAUCUUCCUCUGGAAUUACAGGCAGCCUAUUAGUGGCUCCCUUUUCAACUGGGAUAGAAGGAAAUGACCUUCCAAUGUCAAUUAACCAGUGUGUGGAUUGGUUGUACACAAUCACCACCUAUUUAAAACAACGCUUAAGAAAGAAGAAGGAAGCUUUUUCGCAACUCCGUGAAGUACAUCUUAAAGAGAGACCCGAGAAGAGGAAUGUAACUAAAGAACCUACGGAGGGAGUAAUUCCUGCUGUCCCACCCUCUCAAAUUGAACCAACCACAACCCUCCAGGGGAACCAGGAGGAACCUAGCCACCAUAUAACAGCACAGGACGGUGGGGAGAAUUUUUCUCCUGACCACAGAGGGAGUGCAGCCAAAAAGGCUCGGAUAGAACCAACGCAUGAGCCUAUAGAAGGACCAAAGUCGGAGGCAAAGGCCAGCACACCCGAGCUGGUUUCCCCAAACCCCCUUUUGAGGGCUCUGGAUCGGGAAGGAAUAGACAUUAUCGGAGCUGCUCACCAGCAUCUCCAAAGUGCACCAGAGACCCCGACCGUAGCAACAGUGGGACAAGAGAACCAAGCACCACCAAAAAGAUAUGAAGUAGAAGGCGCGAGGCCUAAGACAACGUCCCUGCCCCCUUCUGGGACUACUUCUAAAAGAAAAAUGGACUUAAUGGCUUUAUCCUCCGCUCUUGAGCAAAGGGGGACUAACCGACAAGGGCAAUCCGCAAUCCCACUGAAUCUCUAAAAUUUUACAUUACGAUUCAAUAAAGGCAUCCAAAACUUUUUACAAAGAAAUACCCUUUACAGUAAAUACCAUCUAAUAUAUCUCGUAGUUUAAAACAAUGGUCAGUACCCUCUAGUGUGGAUAGAGAUGUGUCCCGCAUACCUUCACGUAAUAGGUGGGUCUACGUCCAUGGUCCAUUUCCACCUCUGUUCCCAUUUCCCUCUAGGCAGAAUACAUUUCUCCUUUUGAACAAAACCCAGCAGGAGUUUCCACGCUAAUAAGACUGUUUUAUUUGGGGGAAUCUCACUAUUCUUCCUUAUUUCGAGGUUCCUGUACAAGAACAAGGCAUAGGUUACAUAAAGAUUAACGGUCUAUACCACACACAUGGGUACUCUCCACCUCGAAAAAACACUGUUCCCCGAGGCAUCACGUUUGCCAGCAAGUUUCCUCUUAGGACCUGGCAGCGGGUGGGGUUCGGUUGCCCCCGACGCUAUGGCAGUCACGCAUCAUGGCAGUCACGCACAAAGAUGUUGAUUCCACGGGAAGUCAAUUCCCGAUUCCCGAUUCCACGGUUCCAAAUUCCCGAUUCCACGGGAAGUCAAGUGCUCCCUCUAUUGGUGGCUAUCCCCAGAUCUGCUUGCGGGUAGACCAUUGAUGGAACCCCAACGGGUGGUUGUCACAACGGAUGCCAGCCUGUCGGGAUGGGGAGCUCACUGCCUCGGGCAAGUGGCACAAGGUGCCUGGUCACCAGAAGAGUCCAAACUUCCCAUCAACUGGUUGGAACUUCGUGCGGCUCGGCUGGCACUUAUACACUUCCAAUAUCUUCUAAAAGGCCAACACAUACUCCUCAGGACGGACAAUGUGACAGUAAAGGCGCACAUCAACCGUCAAGGGGGCACAAGGUCCAGGCUGCUGAUGAAGGAAUCCAAUCAGCUAUUUCGUUGGGUGGAGGACAACAUUCCCUCCAUAAUCGCAGAGCAUGUCAAAGUCCCUGGCGGACUUUGGCUCAGUCGGAAGACCGUGGACCCAGGAGAAUGGUUGCUUCAUCCGGAAGUCUUCGAAUCACCAACUCCCUCGCUUCAUGGGAAGGUACCACUCUCCUCGGGCGGAAGCAACAGAUGCUCUUCACUCUCCAUGGCCGGAAGGCCUCCUAUACGCCUUCCCACCCACGCCCAUAAUCAGGAAGGUCAUCAAGAAACUACUACUGGAAAAAGCGGAAUUGAUUCUGGUGGUUCCGUUCUGGCCACGCAGACCUUGGUUCUCAGAUCGUCUCGAACUCGCCACUUGUCCUCCAUGACGCCUUCCGGUCCGCCACGACCUGCUACGCCAAGGGCCGUUUCAUCAUCCCGACCCCCAAUGGCUACAACUUUCCGCCUGGAGGUUGAGUGCACAAGGCUCAGGGCCAAGGGCUACUCAAAGUCAGUGCAAGAUACCAUCCUAGCUUCAAGAAGGCCCUCCGCACAGCGGGUGUAUCAAGCCACAUGGAAGGCAUUUCUGCGUUGGUCACAACAGAAUAAGAAAAACCCCAUAACGGCAGGGGUACUGGGAGUACUCGCCUUCCUGCAGCAAGGUCUGAGCUUGAACCUACGUCCCAGCACUCUGAAGCGACAGGCCUGAGUUUUAGCCUCCGUCCUAGAUAUUUCGUCUACUUCCUCGGGGCAACAAUCUCUCCACCCGCACAUCUCUAGAUUCCUGAGGGGCACAACCAACCUUGCCCCGGCCCCCAUCAAACGAUUCCCGUCCUGGAACUUGAACCGCGUCCUCAAUGCUCUCACAAAACCCCCCUUCGAACCCAUUGACUCUAUUUCACUCAAGUUGUUAACCUAUAAGGUUCCGUUUCUAGUUGCAAUUACGUCCGCACGCAGGGUUUCGGAAUUGAGUGCCUUAUCGUCAAGGAAGGAAUUUUGUAUCUUCCAAUCUGACACAGUGUCCCUUCACUUGGACCCUACCUUCCUUCCCAAAGUCAAUUCCUUCUUUCACAGAUCUCAGGUGAUCGUUCUCCCUUCCUUCUGUCCAAAUCCAGUCCAUCCCACUGAAAAAUUGUGGCACAAUCUGGAUGUGCGCAGGGCCCUCCGUAUGUAUAUACGCAGGACUAGGGAUAUUUGCAAGACUGAUGCACUUUUUGUUUCUUUCUACCCUCCCUUCCUUGGGAAGAAGGUAUCUAAGGCAACGUUAGCUGGGUGGAUUAGAUCCUGUAUCCUGUUGGCGUACGAAAUCCCCAAACGACGCUGAUGACCUGAUGAGCCAUGUGAACUGGCUUGGUGUCUUCAGGUGCACACCAGAGAUGGUCUCAGUGGACCCCUCGACAGCUAAAGGGCAGUAAGCACAGAUGUGGUUCAGCGUCACUUGUUAGGGACUUGGGAUCAGCUGCAGCAGAGCGGCACUCUGUCGGGUGCAUAGCCUGUCGCUAACCCAAGUUUGGCCUGGGUGUUGAAUAUCCCACAUACGUGCGCUCUCUCUCUCUCUCUCUCUCUCUCUCUCUCUCUCUCUCUCUCUCUCUCAGAGCAGGCACUCCCUCAUGGGAACAUAGGAAGCUGCCCUAUACUGAGUCAGACCCUUGGUCUAUCUCGCUCAGUAUUGUCUACACAGACUGGCAGUGGCCUCUCCAAGGUGGCAGGCAGGAGUCUCUCCUAGCUCUGUCUUGGAGAUGCCGCCAGGGAGGGACCUGGGAACCUUCUGCAUGCAAGCAGGCAGGGGCUCUUCCCAGAGUGGCCCCAUCAUCCCCUGAGGGGAAUAUCUUACAGUGAUCCUACAUGGCCUCCCAAGCAGAUGCCAAGCAAGGUGGACCCUACUUCUCCAAGGGGACAGUGUGUGCUUGCAACCACAUAAGAACUGCCCUGCUGGAUCAGGCCCCCCAAGGAAGCCUCUCCAAGCCCAGCAUCCAGAUGCCUCUGGGAGGCCCCCAGGCAAGAGCUGAAAGGGGCCAGCCCCCUCUGUUGCCGUUGCUCCCCUGCAACUGGGAUUGGGAGGCAUCCUGCCUCUGAGGCUGGAGGCAGGCUAGAGCCCUCAGGACUAGUAGCCAUUGAUAAUAGCCCUGUCCUCUGUGAACAUGGCUAAGCCCCUUUCCAAGGCCGUGUAAGUACUGGUGGCCACCAAGAGGCAAAAUGUGGCUGCCGCGCGAUUAGUCAACCUUGCUGCCGAUUGAACCGCGCGGUAUGACUUCCAAGCCAGAAGGGUGGGGUGGGAGGAGCUGGUCUACUUGUCCCAGGCAGGCAGGCAACCCCGCACGUUGGCCACCGAGUGUCAACUGGCAGCUGCAGUCAACGCCAGCUCCCUGCUAAAAAUGGAACUGCACAGUCCGUGUGGAUGUCUUGCAAGCACACAUUAUAGUUUAAGUAUGAUUACGAGUUAAGUCAACCUUAAAGCGUGUGUGGAUUGUGUGUGUGUCUAUAAAUUUAUUUAUUUAGUCUAUCUACUGACCUAUACAAAAAAGGUCCCUGGGCCGUUCACAAUUAUAUUGCUGUUGUUGUUGUUGUUAUACAGUUUGAGAAUGUCUAUAUUUAUAUAUGUCUAGAAAUGCUGAUGUGUGAAGCAGCCCUCAAAGCCGGCUGCUAGUUCUGUUGCUCACUUGCUCCGUUAGACAAAUCUUAGUUGAGCCAUCAAAUGAGUUGCAUUCUGUGAAAUCUGCAUUCAUUUGCAUGAAUUUGCAUUCAAAGCCCUGAAGGGCUUAGGUCUACUGACCUAUACAAAAAAGGUCCCUGGGCCGUUCACAAUUAUAUUGCUGUUGUUGUUGUUGUUAUACAGUUUGACAAUGUAUAUAUUUAUAUACAGUGGUCCCUCGACUUACGAACUACUCGACAUCCGAAGUUUUCGACUUACGAACGACAAAAAUGGCCACACGCUUACGAAUUUUUCGACAUCCGAACGGAAACCGUUGGCGGUUUAGAUGCGGUUUCCUCGACUUACGAAUUUUUAGAUGCGGUUUCCUCGACUUACGCAUUUUUCCAGACCUCCGUGGGUGCGCUUUUCGACUUACGAAAUUUUCGAUCUACGAACGUGCAUUCGGAACGGAUUAACUUCGCCCCUGUAUGUCAAAGUGAUGUGAAUUCGGUUCGUCCCUGGGUCCGCCCUAAGCCAAUCUAACAGACUCAGUGGGAAUACUUUAGAGGCAUUUUAUUGCACUGCAGUUGCAACAGGUAAUCAGUGGGCUUUACACUCUCAAACCGAUUACAGUUUGGUUACAGGUGCAUCUUCCAUUUAUACAAACAAUCUGAAUGAUGCCGACACCCUAGACACAGUAUACGUGGCAACAAAAUGGUGGACUAAAUAUCUAGUACGCAUGCAAAUGAUUCAUUGUUCAUCUGGUGAUUACUCCUUAUUUGGUUACAUCCUGUUUUCUUAACUGUCAGCAAAAGAACAGUGAGAACCAAGUUUCUUAGAUACAAUUUAGUGGAGAGAGAUAGUGACGUUGAUCAUGAGAGGCCGUGAUGGCCCUGAGCUGGGCUGGUGUUACUUUAAGUUAGAAUGAGGUUUUCUAAGUAAAAUGGAGUUGCUUUGGUUUUCUAAAACACAUCAAAAGCAGGCACCAAAGGUUUUCUUAAAGAGAAACCUGUUGCCUGAUUAAUGAGGGAUUUUUUUAAACCAAUUACAAAAAUUGUGAGUUUGUUAAGGUCACAGCAGGACUGUGCAUUUCUGUGCAGGACUGGCCUGUGGAUUUACCAGGGCGUUGCUGGCUUCCCACCUCUUGCGUACAAUCAGUGUGUCCUUGUGUGAGCCGAGGGGUGUCCCUCCAGGGCUCCUUGCAGUGGGUCACAGCUACUCUCUUUGUCCCCACUACCUUUGGACACAUGAGAUCUCCCGCUCUUCCUCCAAGGAGCCCAGAGCGCGGGACUCCAUCCUGGAGGUGUGCCUGCCUGCACAGUGGAAAGAGACUCGCUGUGAUGAUUGAUCCUCACAGCGACGCUCUUUCCACUGCACAGGCGCACCUCGUAGUUGGCAAGAGCCGGGGCCGAAUGGCAGGCCCUGCAUUGCUCUGCGAGUGAGGUUGAUGUAUAAUACAUUAGAAAUGCCUAGAAUUGCACAGCUUGAAUUAGUUUGAAAUAAUGGUUCUCUGCAAGAGACCUUUCUUUGCUUGUCAGUGCAAAGCAUUGUCCAAACGUUGUUUCUCCAGUAAUAUGCCAUCCCCCAUAGGUUACUGCGCCCGUCUGUGGAAUGUGCUGAAGUUGAUAUGUAGAAGGGGUUGAUAUGACUAGGAAGAUGUUGGCAGUCUGCCUGCGAACGUGUUUAGAGUUUGUUUUCUGGCCUUGGUUAGGCACCUUGGCAUCAUAUGUUGUUUUCUUGUGAGGAUGACUUUGGCAUUGGUCAUGGAUCAAGGUAUGGAUGUUUGAAUAUUCCUUUGUCUUACUUUGAGCAAAUAGCCAAAGUAAGACCUCUGUUCUUAAGGCAGAAUAAAACCUUUGAUCUUG